rnacentral:tRNA from 1 species
GGUCUAUUGGGGAAGAGGUUAUCCUAUCUGACUGUCUAUCAGGUGUCGUCGGUUCGAAUCCGUCAUAGACCGCCA